rnacentral:rRNA from 1 species
AACGAACGCUGGCGGCAUGCCUAACACAUGCAUGUCGAACGAGACCUUCGGGUCUAGUGGCGCACGGGUGCGUAACGCGUGGGAACCUGCCCUUAGGUUCGGAAUAACUCCCCGAAAGGGGUGCUAAUACCGGAUAAUGUCUUCGGACCAAAGAUUUAUCGCCUUUGGAUGGGCCCGCGUUGGAUUAGCUAGUUGGUAGGGUAAAAGCCUACCAAGGCGACGAUCCAUAGCUGGUCUGAGAGGAUGAUCAGCCACACUGGGACUGAGACACGGCCCAGACUCCUACGGGAGGCAGCAGUGGGGAAUAUUGGACAAUGGGCGAAAGCCUGAUCCAGCAAUGCCGCGUGAGUGAUGAAGGCCUUAGGGUUGUAAAGCUCUUUUACCCGGGAUGAUAAUGACAGUACCGGGAGAAUAAGCUCCGGCUAACUCCGUG